CUGCGCUCGCCAUGACGUAAUACACGUCGCCUGCGCAUUGGCUCCAGCGCAUGCUUAGUUGUCAAUUCUGAAGGCGCACUCGCCCAGGGGUUGGGAAUUGCCCGGCCAUUUUCUUUUGGUCGGACGUGAUGUCACGUAGCGAUUUCCCAGAAUCAGAGGAACUCCUCAAUUUCCUGUCCCCCAGCGUGCCCCCCAUUUUGGCCUCCGACUGGGAGCAAUUUGGAGGGGAGUUAGGUCUAUUGUUGCCAGCAGGACUCUGAUAUCUAGGCGGGGGAAUGUCUUAAAACUUUUGGAGGGAACUGGCAGUGGGAUUUGGCGGGGAUAGAGACACUGGUUUCCCACUCGGCUUGCUCCCCUAACUUCCCUCCUUCAACCCUUAAACUUUUCUCUUUGUGGCAGUCUUUCUCUGUCCCUGAGCUCCUUGCUGUACUCGCCCACUAUUUUUCGUUCUCGGCCCCUGAGAGCCCUUGCAUUGGAUAAAUGCAGUUAUUUCACAGAUUCUGGAAGUUGGCGCCAGUCUCCAGUUAAAGCUGCGAAGCUUAAGGGUCUUCGUAACAAAAGGAACCACCAAGCUCUCGGUCCUGGAUGAAGCCUGCAAACAUCUGAGUUUCCAUGAAGAGAUCCAGGAAGUGGCGUACACUUCGGGAGGUGUGGGAUUUACGGAAUGGUUCCCUUUGGAAUACACGCUCCCCACGCUCAGUGACAGUCAUGCUCAAAGAAUAAUGUCCCACCAGCUCCACGAAAAACCUCACAAAUGCCUCGGACACCAGAGAGUUGAGUGUCACGUCUGCUGCAAAAUGAAAGAUAAAUAAGGAAGAAAGAAAAGAAAAACCCUAAGUUUUGUGUUUAUGGGAAAUGGUUAUGAAAGUCGUGUACAGGAAAUCCUAGAUCAAAGGACUGAGAAUCCCGAUUCUUGGCUCUCUUGCACACUCCAUGACCUGCACAAAGUCAGUGGCUUAUAUUUUUAGUUUCAUUUUCUUCCCACACAUACUCUUGUUACAUCUUUCAGCCUGGCUUGCAUAUCCGUGAUCUCACUGUAACUGCUCUUUCAAAGGCCACCAGUGAGAACCAGCCAAAUUUAAUCUGCUUCACUAUUCGUCUCUCCUUUAAACUCUGCUGCAUUUAUGUGAACCCCCUCCUCAUUCCUCCUCUUGCCUCCCACAACUUUAUAUUCUCCUGAUUUUUUGGAUCCCUCUCCUGCUUUUAUGACCAAGCAUUUGUUUUUCUCUUGCCUCUUCUUCCUCUCCCUAAGCAUGGUCCUCAGACCACCUCUCUUCAGCAUUCCCACCCUUAAAGAGCUAACUGGCAUAGAGAUAGAGCUGGCUUUCCAUGUUGAUAAUUCUCAACCUUACAUCUCUAGCCCUGAUAUGUCACCAGAACUCAGGUUACCUACCUAUCAUUACCAUGAUGGGUAAUCAUCAUUUGGUUGUCCCAUUACCACUUAAAUUCUAUCUGUCUAAAAGUCAAAUCAGGUCCUUUUGAGAAAUUGGUAAAAUACACAUGUUCAAAAUCAAAUUCAUUCUAUUUUUCCACCAAAUCAGUUUCUCUCUCAACUUCCCCAUUUCAUACUAUAACCAUUAUUAUUCUAGAAUAAUUUGAGUGCUUAAGAUAUGUCAAGCACUGUAUUUAGAGCUUUUGUAAGUGUAAUGAUACAGUGGUCCAGGUAUUAUUUCCUUUUUACAGCUGAGGGUAAUGAGGCUCAAAACAAAGACAUUCUCCAGGGUCAUCUCAUCUAUUACAGGGAGAAGUUGCCAGACUCCCAAGUCAGGUAAUUCUUAACCACUGUAACAUGAAAUAUAUUGCCUUUCAGGUUCCAGGCUCAAACCUCAGAUUCAACUUAAACUCCUCCUUUUUCUUCCAUAUCUAGUAGUAUUUUUUCCCCCCUUCAUGAUAUCUCUUGCUCUUUCCAUUAGCUCCGUGCUGGGCUGGGAAUCGGGCCUAGGUUUGGUCAGAGUUGUACCAUGAAACAGCAGUAUAAUGGGAGGCAAGUUGCUUUACACCUGCACCCCCCCACCCCACGGCCUCUCUUUCCAUAUCUGUGCAAUGAGGUGGCUGAUGAGGUGACCACUAAUGUCUCUUCUGGCAUUACAGUGAUUAUAAAGUACAUUUUUAAAAUAUUUUGUUCAACAGACAUCCUUCUCCUCUCUUUCCUUCUGUAGCUGAGAAUCCAUGAUCCAUCACUGCUUUUAUUGUCAACACCUGUGCCCCAGUCUCCCACCCCUUCCAGUUACUGUCCCAUUUCUCUUCUACUUUACAGCAAAACUUUUCAAGAGUUGUUUAUACCUGUUGUACCCUUUCUUAAUCUAAUUCCCUUUGUUCUAAAAAUUAUGCAUUUCUAUAACUUAUCUUCAA